AUCCAGUAGAUAAGUCCCAAACAGGACGAAAUGUGCAUCUUGGAU
rnacentral:hammerhead_ribozyme from 1 species